UACGAAGGGUGCAAGCGUUGUUCGGAAUUACUGGGCGUAAAGGGCGCGUAGGCUGGUUUGUAAGUCUAAUGUGAAAUCCCCGGGCUUAACCUGGGACGUGCAUUGGAGACUGCAGAUCUUGAAUGCUUGAGAGGGUGGUGGAAUUCCAGGAGUAGAAGUGAAAUUCGUAGAUAUCUGGAGGAACACCUGAGGCGAAGGCGGCCACCUGGCAAGACAUUGACGCUGAGGCGCGAAAGUGCGGGGAGCAAACAGGAUUAGAAACCCGAGUAGUCC
rnacentral:rRNA from 1 species